GACGCGACAUCUGGUGGCCCAUACAGU
rnacentral:piRNA from 1 species